rnacentral:lncRNA from 1 species
CUUUUACUAUUGAUAGGUUCGCCGCUAGUUACAAUACACAAUUACCAAGAUUCAAUUCACGAUUUUGGUGUCCUGAAACAGAGGCUGUUGACGCAUUUACUCAAAAUUGGUCAAACGAAACGAACUGGGUCUGUUCGCCAGUGGAUUUAAUCAUUCCCGUCAUUAGACACAUGUCCGUUUGUAAGGCCAAAGGUACCCUUAUAGUUCCUCGUUGGCCGUCCGCUAUUUUUUUGGCCAGCCAUUAAAAUCAAAUCUGGAAAGUUUGCUCCAUUUGUUAAGGACAGUUUAGUUUUACCAAAAAAAAAAAAAAAAAAUAGCACAGAUGUGCAUUCCUGGUGAAGGGCAAUUGAUAGCCUAUCAAAAGUAACCGUCCGUUUUUACGGGAACACCAAGUUUUGACUUACUAGCUUUACGGGUAGAGUUUUAAAGCAUAAUGAUUAGGCUUGGUCUUUAGCACCGUGUCUUUUUGACAAAUUGUGGCGUUUCAAAGCAUUUUAUUUAUUUUUUAUCCUCAUGUCUUUUCGACUGAUUCGCUCCAUUUCUGGUGUGAUUGUUUUGUUUAAUAGCACUUUGCUACAGUAUUUGGUUUAUUUGCUGAUAAUGCAAAUAAUGUGUUGAUUUUCAAACACUUCAAGUUUGCAUUUUUUUCAGGGGUUUUGGACACCAAAUUUUGGUUACAAAGUCAUCUCAUCGGUCAUUCGACCUGUUCAUGUAAAAAUUAAAUUUUACAUUUGCCUUUUAACGGCUAGAUACAUUUUCGUAAAAAAUUAAUUUUUAUUUAAUUCAUGCAGUCUUUUAGUGCUGUCAUAUCGUCGUGUGACGAAUGUAGUCUUCGAAGUUUAUAUUCUAUUAUGAUUUACUUAUUUCUAUUUAGAUGAGUUUAAAAUUGGAGUGUGGGAGGAUUUCUUCAAAAUACAGGAUCCUUCGCUUGUAUCGUUGGCUUCCUCGCUUUCUCGGGUUGCAAUUGUGUUGAAUGCAAAGGCUCGAAAUACGACAGUCCGCUAUGCUUACGGAUGGAACAGAUGGAAGAUCUGGUCCAAGUCUAAGAUUGGUGUUUGGUACCUUCCUGCUCAGCCUAUGUUCGUGGCGUUAUAUUGCGUCAAUUCCUCGAUUCCGCCAAGACAACUUCACCUGUGGAUACUGCUGUGUAUAGCAUUCGUUGGGGGCAUAUUUUGGCCGCUUACCCUCCCCGACAGAGCACCCGUUGGUUCAAUCUACCUACGAAGGCUGCCGACGAAUUCUCUCUCGACCAAGAGAACCUAAAGAUACUGUCCAACCUUACAUGUUAGAAACGUUAAUUCAGAAACACGGGCGUAAUCGCGCAUCUCCGGCCGAUCUACGUCUCCUAUUUGAGAUAUCAUCAAAGAGAGUUUGGGCGUAUUUUACGAGGAUUUGAGAAAGUUGGGAACUCACAGCUUAAGGAGUGGUGGUGCAUCCGAUCCAGGUUGCCACGAUUUGUCCGACCUGUCAAUGCAGAGUCAUGGAGGAUGGAAGUCUGUACAAUCGAAGAAUAAGUACAUUAAACCAUCGGCAAGCAUGCAAUUCGAGGUGUCUAAAAACUUGUCUAUUUAGGCGAAUGCGUAAAAUACGAACGUGAACAUUUAUACAUUGUAGUGAAGAACGGUUUUCCCAGGAGUGUGUUUUAGAUUAUCGUAUUAAUAAUCUGUAAAGGAAUUGAUAACACGAAUGUUAUUGAGUGACAAUAUUCAAGAGAACUUUUAAAUACUCCGCCCUGUUUUAUGCAGGUUGGGUUUUUCAUCUUCACACCAAGAUCUUAAAGGUUCAGAUCUUGGAAUAAGUAGAGUAUAUUUAUUCUUUACUAUGUAAGAGCAUUUAGCUCGAGCGUUUAAGCAGCAAUAAACACAUAGUGCUUCAAGCAACAUGUUGAUGUGUGUGUGUGUUUAUUCGAUAUAAUUAUAUUAGAUGUUGUGUUUUCGCACUGCUUGUCCCAAGUUGUCAACAACUUGUAACAACCUUGUUGAUAUUAUCAGACUUGUUGCAAGGUUGUUCCAACAAAUCCGA